rnacentral:lncRNA from 1 species
CUAUGGAGUUGUCUUCCACCAUGUGAACAGAGCUCCUACAUAAGGCAUAUCUGAAAGAGCACAAUCAUGUACUGCCUCCUGAAACUGACGCAUACCCAUCUGAUCUGCAAGAUAAUCGUUCACUCGAGAAUGCUCUCCUGAUGCCAAGGUUGCAUUAAAAUCCCCCAGCACAAUCCAUGGCAUAGCAUAAUGACUGUAAGCCGCUUGCGCUCCGCGCAACUCUU